rnacentral:lncRNA from 1 species
GUGGACUCCAUUUUUAUGUAAUAAAGGUGUCAUGUCAGCACAAAGAGGUAACAAAAUACGUUAAAAUUAAGUUAGGGUAAUAAAACUCAUGUAAAGUUGAAGUAUACCUUAGGAACUUUGGUCAUAGUUCGAAGGGCUAGUGAAUACAACAACAACAACAAACUCAGUGUAUUCCCACAGCGUGGAGUCUGGGGAGGGUAAGAUAUACACAGUUCAUACCGCUACCUCCGAAGAAGUAGAGAGGUUGUUUCCGAUAGACCCCCGG